rnacentral:rRNA from 1 species
GAUUAUGGCUCAGAACGAACGCUGGCGGCGCGUUUAAGCAUGCAAGUCGAGCGGCAAGGGCCUUCGGGCCCCUAGAGCGGCGGACGGGUGAGUAACACGUGGACAAUCUGCCCCCCGGCCCGGGAUAGCCCAGGGAAACCUGGAUUAAUACCGGAUGAGACGGGACCCGCGAUGGCGGGAUCCGGGAAAGGCGCUGCGGCGCCGCCGGGGGAUGAGUCUGCGUCCCAUUAGCUAGACGGCGGGGUAACGGCCCACCGUGGCGACGAUGGGUAGCCGGCCUGAGAGGGUGGACGGCCACAUUGGAACUGAGACACGGUCCAGACUCCUACGGGAGGCAGCAGCUAAGAAUCUUCCGCAAUGGGCGAAAGCCUGACGGAGCGACGCCGCGUGAACGAAGAAGGCCGUGAGGUUGUAAAGUUCUUUUCGGGAGGGGGAACAACCGUGGCAGGGAAUGGCCGCGGGAUGACGUGAAUCCCGGAAUAAGCCCCGGCUAACUACGUGCCAGCAGCAGC